ensembl:snoRNA SNORA70 Small nucleolar RNA SNORA70
CUGCAGCCAAUUAAGGCAACCUGGUUUCUUUCCUCAUGGGGGCCCAGUGUGUGACGCCAAAACAGCAGUCUCCUUGGGAGUAUGUGCAACCUGCGGCUUGUAUAGACCGCUCUAAGGGACCUUGGAGAAUUUC